rnacentral:rRNA from 1 species
CCUACGGGUAGCAGCAGUGAGGAAUAUUGGUCCAUGGGCGGAAGCCUGAACCAGCCAAGUAGCGUGCAGGAUGACGGCCCUACGGGUUGUAAACUGCUUUUAUACGGGAAUCACGCGCCUUACGUGUAGGGCUUUGCAUGUACCGUAUGCAUAAGGACCGGCUAAUUCCGUGCAAGCAGCCGCGGUAAUACGGAGGAUGCGAGCGUUAUCCGGAUUUAUUGGGUUGAAAGGGUGCGUAGGCGGUCCGUUAAGUAAGCGGUAAAAUUGCGGGGCUAAACCCCGUCGAGCCGUUGACACGGGCAGACUUGAGUUGGCGAGAAGUACGCGGAAUGCGCGGUGUAGCGGUGAAAUGCAUAGAUAUCGCGCAGAACUCCGAUUGCGAAGGCAGCGUACCGGCGCCAGACUGACGCUGAGGCACGAAAGCGUGGGGAUCGAACAGGAUUAGAUACCCGAGUAGUC